rnacentral:rRNA from 1 species
GACGAACGCUGGCAGCGUGCUUAACACAUGCAAGUCGAGGGCACUUCGGGGGCAACCCUGGAGUGACCGGCGAACGGGUGCGUAACACGUGAGCGACCUUGCCUCGUGGUGGGGGAUAGCCGGCCCAACGGCCGGGUAAUACCGCAUAGGGUGCUGACUCCGCAUGGAGACGGCAGCAAAGCCCUGGAGCAAUCCAGUGGCGCCACAGGGGGGCUCGCGGCCUAUCAGCUAGGUUGGGGGGUAAUGGCCCACCAAGGCGACGACGGGUAGCUGGUCUGAGAGGAUGGUCAGCCACAGUUGGGACUGAGA